GACGAACGCUGGCGGCGUGCUUAACACAUGCAAGUCGAACGGGCCCGCCCUCUUUUUUGGGGGUGGGUUGAGUGGCGAACGGGUGAGUAUCACAUGAGUAACCUGCCCCCUGCUCCUGGAUAACUGCUUGAAAGGGCGGCUAAUACGGGGUGUGCCGGCUGGUCCGCAUGGGCCUGGUCGGGAUAGUUUCAUCUUCGGGUGUUUCGGUGGGGGAUGGGCUCGCGGCCUAUCAGCUUGUUGGUGGGGUGAUGGCCCACCAAGGCGGUGACGGGUAGCCGGCCUGAGAGGGUGGGCGGCCACACUGGGACUGAGACACGGCCCAGACUCCUGCGGGAGGCAGCAGUGGGGGGUAUUGCACAAUGGGCGGAAGCCUGAUGCAGCGACGUCGCGUGAGGGAUGGAGGCCUUCGGGUUGUGAACCUCUUUCUCCGGUGGUGAAGGCCCUGUCCGUUGCGGCGGGGUUGACGGUAGCCGGGUAUGAAGCGCCGGCUAACUACGUGCCAGCAGCCGCGGUAAUACGUAGGGCGCGAGCGUUGUCCGGAAUUAUUGGGCGUGAAGGGCUUGUAGGCGGCCGGUCGCGUCCGCCGUGAAAUUCUCCGGCUCAACCGGGGGCUUGCGGUGGGUACGGGCCGGCUGGAGUGCGGUAGGGGAGGCUGGAACUCCUGGUGUAGCGGUGGAAUGCGCAGAUAUCAGGAAGAACACCGGUGGCGAAGGCGGGUCUCUGGGCCGUUACUGACGCUGAGGAGCGAAAGCGUGGGGAGCGAACAGG
rnacentral:rRNA from 1 species